GGGGGUCUCCUGGCACCAUAACAACUUCAUGCAAUUAGAUGAAGUUAUUAUGAAGACUGGAAUGUUUCUUUAACAAUGAAAAUACACCAUUCUUAUGGGAUAGAGAGAAAAUAUCAAAGAAAGUUUGUUUUUUCACAUUCAUUUUCUCGAUUAUGCCCUUCUAUAACACUCUUCUAUUAACAUAUUUUGAUUUUUUUUUUUAUAUUUUUUUAUUUAGCAUCUUUAUUGUGAACAUGUAAGCCAUUAAUGUUAUGUUAUGUUCUUUCUGGUCACAAUAUCAGAAUGUGAGGGGACUAGUGAUGUCCCGAACGGUUCGCCGAACGGUUCGCCACAGACGGCGAACAUAUGCGCUGUUCGGUCCGCC